rnacentral:rRNA from 1 species
ACUGGUGUCAGCCGCCGCGGUAAUACCAGCUCUCCGAGUGGUAGGGAUGAUUAUUGGGCUUAAAGCGUCCGUAGCCGGCUUAGCAAGUCUCCUGUUAAAUUCAGCGACCUAAUCGUUGAGCCGCGGGAGAUACUACUAGGCUAGGAGGCGGGAGAGGCCAACGGUAUUCUCGGGGUAGGGGUGAAAUCCUAUAAUCCCGGGAGGACCACCAGUGGCGAAGGCUGUCGGCUAGAACGCGCUCGACGGUGAGGGACGAAAGCUGGGGGAGCGAACCGGAUUAGAUACCCGGGUAGUCCCAGCUGUAAACGAUGCGGGCUAGGUGUUGGGGUGGCUACGAGCCACUUCAGUGCCGCAGGGAAGCCAUUAA